ACUGCUUCUGUCUCCAGCAUCCAGACAAGCACCAUGAAGAGGCUGCUGUGCUUUCUGCUGGGGCUGCUGUGCUCCCAGCUUUGCUGGGUGAAAGGGCAGCAAGUGGAGCAGAGUCCUGAGUCCUUGGUUCUUCAGGAGGGAGAGAGUGCAGAGCUGCAGUGCAACUUUUCCACAGUUUUGAACAGUAUGCAAUGGUUUUAUCAAAGUCCUGGAGGACACCUCAUCAUCCUGUUUUACAAUCCUUCUGGAAAAAAGCAGAGUGGGAGACUGACGUCCACGACAGUCCCUAAGGAUCGUCACAGCUCUUUGCAAAUUUCCUCCUCCCAGAUCACUGACUCAGGCACUUAUUUCUGUGCUAUGAAUGCACAGUGCUCCCUACAUACCUGUACCCAUUACACAAACCUUUAACUGGGUGGGUGUGGCCCUUCCCUGUCACAAGAUGUCAGGAUGCCUUACAGAACAUCUGUCUAGUUCAUUGUAUUGGCAUAGUUUCUUUCCAGUAUUUGCAGUUUCACCCUCAGAUAAGCUUUUGGCCUCAUAGGUUUAGUACUUUAGUAUUAAUUUUCAUUUCCCCA